rnacentral:piRNA from 1 species
UGUUAAGCUUCAUCGAGUCCUUCUUCGU